UGUGUCAGAACCUGUGUCGGCCUGGAGGGAAGACAGUAGAGGAGGAAAGGAAACAGUUAUCGGGCCAAGCAGAGGCUUUUGGGACGGGAGGCAAGAGCAGCUGUGGGGGAAUGGGCUGGAAAAGGCUUCAAGAGUUGUUUCUAAUGGAAUAGACUGACCCGCCUCCUGUUUAAUGCAUGACUAAGGCAAGGUAAUUUGAGCUAACUUAGCUCUCUUUCAUUGCAACCACAACCCUGUUCUCAAUUCUGGACAGUUCUUGGAUUAAAAAGGGAAAAAAAGAAACACACACACAAAGCCUCCAGGAUUUCCCUCUUUCUGCAUCAUUCACUUCCUAAAAGACAGCUGAUGCACCAAGUGCCAAAGCAAAGGAGAUGACGUGCAGGCACACCCGGAGAGCAGCCGUGCUCCUCGGCAAAGGGGGACCCAUCCGGCUGUGGGGAGAAAGCCAGCACAGCUCAGCAGUUGGAAUUUGAUCUCUCUCACACCCAGAGCUGAGAUAUUAAACACCUGUACACAGGGCCAUGAAUACCUGGGUAGCCCAUGGUUCUCUGCAUCUGCUUCUUCACACGGAGCUGGGAGUCAGUGAGUCAAGCUCUCCUUCCUGUGACUGGCAGCAGAUCUCCCCGGCAAGCAAAUCUCAGCAUUGUGCCACAUCCCCCUCAUCGUCCAGCCCGAUGUUUCCUCCUUCCCCUGGCUGGCUGGCAAAGCAGCCUUGCAGCCCAGCCCUGCAGAACACCACUUACAAAUUCAACCUGGAGCUGAAAGGCAAGGUGUUACUUUUCUGGCUAGUCUCCCCUCUCCAGUAAGGACAUGAAUGAGAAUAUUGUCCAGCAUUUCUGGUGGAGCUGCAUGAACCAGGGCAUGCUAAGCACAGGCUGCCUCUCCCAGCUUCAUUGAAACAAAAAGCAAUCCUACCUUAGUCACAGAAGCCGGCAAGAGCUCUCUCCAGCCUUGAGUGCUUCACUGGUUUUGAGCUUGAAUUUCUCUGUCGGAACUUCCAGUUAUUCAGUAGCAGCUUUAGAGGUUUCCUGUAUUUCACAAGGGCAUUCGCUAACAAUGAAUGCUUCCAAUAAGCUGUCUGUUGACUUGUUGACACUUAAAAUGUAUUUUGUUUUUCUUGUUCCCUCAGCUGCAGUGAGUUAGUUCAUUUGGAAUUACAAUGGCAGCACAGUAGGACUUGGUUGGUCUUUUGCUUGCAUAAAAUUUAGUUGAAACUCAUGUGAAUCCUAAAAGACAAGGUGUUUGAAUGAGAUGAAGUAAAAUCCUUUUUUUAAAAAUGAAAGGAAAUUAAAAUUGUCUUUUCUUCCUCAGCCUCAACAAUUUAAAAAAUCUUGGAAGGGAAAUUCAUUGGCUUCUGUAGGAAUUUUAAAAUUAAAACCUUUUCACCCCUCUAAUGAGGCAGACUUUAGGAGGAAACAAGGCAUCUGUGUUCAUGCUCCUGGUGCCAGUCCAGCAGUCUCCUUCCAGGAAUGCUGGAGUGCCUUGGCCCGGCCCAACCUGCGUCGCAGCAGCCACUUCUACUUAUUAUUGACAUCCAUAUCGAGCCCUAUCGAUAGGUCUGGCGUUUGACAGGCAUCAAUGCUGCUCCAUUUUCACAAGCAUCCAUGUCAAUAUGUUCAAUGCCUACCAAGAGCCAAAUCAGGCAGAGAGCAAAAGCCAUAGAUGCCGAUGGAGAUGGAGAGGGAGUGAUGGCUAUCGGCAGGGAUCAAUAGCGACAGUUACUGAGAACUAUCGAUACAUAGUGCUCUCGAUGCCUUGAAGUGGGUUUGGAAAUCAACAGGCCUCGAUGCCUGUUGAGAUCAAGGGCAGCUACGUGUACUGAGAGCGAUGGAGAGCUAGGGAUGUCGUGCCUUAGCGAUACCUGUGGAAAUCAAUACUCAUCAAGGCCCGUCGAGGUCAAGAACGGUCAAGAGUCAUCGGUGCCUACUGAGGGCAACAUCAGCCCCAGGCCGAAAGGUAUACCUUGAGAUGAUGUUUGGCUUUAACAAACUGAAGGACACUGGCAAAAGGCUUUCAUCACAGAUUCAUUGAUUGGAAACCUGAAGAGUUCUAAAUUUCAAAAGCUUACAUCAGAAGUGAUGGACAAAAAAAAAGUUCUGAUGUUUGGAUGCAGUAAUGAUGUUCUAAACAAAAAACAAUCAUCAGCAAAGUACAAUAAACCAAGAAACCCAUUAUGCAGAAUAUCACUCCUCUGCCAGAGAUAACUGAACUACUGCCUCCAAAAUUUCCUGAAAGUCUAUCGCAAAAUGUAGAGGACUCCCCAAAGCAGGCUACUGUUCACAUUUUAAGAGAAACAACAUUUCUAAAAAAUCUAGUGCUGCAAAUGAUAGCCAGGUAAAAUUACCUGUUUUACCAGACAGGGAAGAAGACACCUCUGUAGGACCUCUGAGGACUCCUUAUUGUCUCAAAAGAGUAGCAGCCAAAAGUCAUCUUUGUUACUGGACACUGGAGAGAUUUCUGCGGAGUCUUACAGGUAGUAAUGUUCCUUCUGCAAAAGAGCUAGUGUUACUAGUGGGAAUGUGGGGAACUCUUCAGAGACAUUAACUACAUGCGGAAAUUAAUCCUGCAGUUCACUUACAGCAAUUAGCAUCUUCUCUCAGCCUCACUGAGAGCACUUGGAAAAUUUCAUCCAGUUUAAUGGAUGCAGAUGCUAAUUCUGCUGAAGCUCUAAGAGGAGUUUCCCUCUUCUUGAAGGACCAACAUCCAGUGGGAGAAUAGCCAAAAGACACUUGACGAUGUUACUGAACACAGUUUGCCAGGACACUGAAGAACUUCCAGGAAAGUCCUCCCUUUUUCAAAGACUAGAAACAGGAUAGCAUCAGUUGUUUUUCCCCAGAUGUGAAAUUCUACAGUUUAAACAUGUAUAUAUUUACACAGUUUUGGUCAAAUGUCUUCUACUUACUUACUCUGCUUCUUAUAUUUUGCUUAUAUCUACUGAACCAAAAAAGAAAAUCUGAAUAGCUGGUUUUGAGUCUCUAAUCCAUAAACAACAUGGACUAAGUGACGAGAAAGUGUUAUUCCAUAAAUUCUUGGCAAGCCA